CAGCCGCCGCGGUAAUACGUAGGUCCCGAGCGUUGUCCGGAUUUAUUGGGCGUAAAGCGAGCGCAGGCGGUUAGAUAAGUCUGAUGUGAAAGCCCCCGGCUCAACCGGGGAGGGUCAUUGGAAACUGGGAAACUUGGGUGCAGAAGAGGAGAGUGGAAUUCCACGUGUAGCGGUGAAAUGCGUAGAGAUGUGGAGGAACACCAGUGGCGAAGGCGACUCUCUGGUCUGUAACUGACGCUGAGGAGCGAAAGCGUGGGGAGCGAACAGGAUUAGAUACCCCAGUAGUCCCUGUCUCUUAUAC
rnacentral:rRNA from 1 species